UUGAGCUACACAGCAGUCCUGGGCAGUGGGGAGUGGUGAGCUCCAUUGUGUACACUUGGAAGCAGCCCAGAAAGGUGAAGACCUGUUCGUGAACUCCAGAGGCCAUUGGAAGCAUGGAAGGCUAUGGCUGGCACUCUUCCUCUUUUUCCAGUUCACUGAGGCAGAUGGGAGGCCCGGAGGAGAAAGAAUGAAGGAAGGCAUUUCAGCCCGAGUAAACUCCCCAGGCCCGCUCUGUGCCAGGCAGUGUUGCAAGCCUCGGGUAGGGUGGUGAGCAAAGCAGAUGGCCCUGCCCUCACUCAGCAACCAGUGUAGGGGAGCUGCCACGGUUACCAGCAAAAGCUGAAAUCCAGCGCCAUUUGCAUUUCAUAUGGAAUUUUAGGAAGUUUUCGAGAUGUUUUAGUUUAGAAGCUAAACAUGACAUACCAGGUUCUUCUCUGUCUGGCCUUGCAUACCUAUCCAGUUCCCUCUCCAUUCAUCUCUGCCCUGACAUGCACUCAGGAGGCUCCCUGGGCCUCAGCAUUCCUCAUUUGCGCGCCUCUGGUCAAGCUAGUACCUCUGAAUGCCCUUUCCCAUCCCCUUCUCAGAGUUCACCUCACACAUUCCGAAGCCAGCUCAGGGCCACCUCUGAAACAUUUAGAGCACUCCCCUGCCCAUCCAGAUGCUCAUUAAAUAGUGUGCAUCUCUGUCACCGUUCUUUCAUGUUAUUUUAUAAUUGUCUCUUUAUGUGUCUCUCACCCCCACAGACUGAGCCUUAGGGCAAACAAUGUCUUGUUCACUUUUGUCCUUCCAGCUUCUAGCACGGUGCUUUGUGCACAGUAAACACUCCAGCGGCUGUUGACCAAUGAAUGAAUGAAGAUUGUAGGCUCAAAUAUUCAAGUUAUCAAAGUGCAAAGAAUGAGAGGUUGUUUGCACUGGACUUCAAAAAUAAAUAGCCUGGACCUGUACUGUCUUACACAACAGCUAUGAGCUACUGGUGGCUACUAGAAAAUUUAAAAUUACAGAUUUGUCUUGUAUUACAUCUCUAGAAGCUCCAACCAACAGGGGGACAGUGAAGUAUGAAGAGGAAAGCCAAUGUGAAAAAUGCCUCUCCCCGAUUCUGUCUGACUCUGUUAAAGAGGGCUUUGCUUUAGAAGCUUAACCAUUCUGAUUAUUUUGGGGGUGUGAGGUAAUCUGGAAAGUAAAAUUUACCUAAAAAUUAACUGAAGAGUGUUGUGUAGGAGAAACAGUGGAAAUUACUGGUUAAUCAGAAUAGUUUUAUACUUGGGAAGAGAAGGAUGGAGUCCCAGAAAGUAGAUACAACUGAUCUUUAGGAAACAACUCCCAAAAAAGGAAAGGAAUAAAAAAGUACUCAGGCUGGGUGUGGUGGUUCAUGCCUGUAAUCUCAGCACUUUGAGAGGCCAAGAGGGGCAGAUUGCUUGAGCCCAAGAAUUCAAGACAAGCCUGGGCAACAUAGCAAGACCCUGUCUCUAAAAAAAAAAAAAAAAGAAUAAAAAAAAAAGCUGGGCAUUGUGGCAUGCACUUGUAGUCUCAACUACUCAGGAGGUUGAGGUGGGAGGACCGAUCACUUGAGCCUGGGAGGUCAAGGCUGCAGUGAGCCAUGAUCACGCCACUGCAUACUAGUGUUAGCAACAGGCUGUCUCAACAACAAAAAAGUGAAAAAGUACUCAGAACAAUUGUUUAUUCAGUGUGCACGUUUCUCAUUCUCUCUUCCUGCCUACCCUCCUCAUAUUUCUGAUUCUUCUUUUCUGUCUCCCCAAACUCUAAUCCUUUGGGUUGCUUUUAUCCAGGUAAGGAAAGCAGUCACUUGAGUUGAGCCAAUCAAUUAAUUAAUUUUUUAAGUUAACAUAUAGUAAAACUGCUUAAUCUUUGUACAGCUGAUGAAUUUUAGCAUGAUGAGGAUUCCUGUAACUACUACCACAAUGAGGAUACAGAAUAGUUCCACCACCCCAAAAAACUCCCUCUGCUGCCCCUUUGUAGUCAUACUCUCCCCUACCUCCUAGCCCCUGGCAAUCAUUGCCCUGUUCUGUCACUAUAGUUUUGUUUUUUUUCCAGAAGGUCAUAUGAAUGGAAUCAUAUGAUAUAUAACCUUGGACCUACUAAUUUUUGCUGGAGUCAAAGCAGCUUCCUUUGUCAGGGAAUCUAUUCAUAUUAUACAUUACUUACAGAGUUGAUGGAGCAUGCAGACAGUCAGAAUGCUUAGGAAUAGGAUGUUCUGGGCAAGAACUUUUCAGGUUAACUAGGUAAACCCCUUUUAUAGUUUGACCACGUAGCAAUCUUUCUACAAUGUGAGCCUCUAUUUCUUUCUUAAUAAAUAGAGUGUAAAGAACAGUUUUUUUUUUCUUCAGUAAAGGAGCAUGAUAAAUACCA
rnacentral:lncRNA from 1 species